rnacentral:misc_RNA from 1 species
GUAGGUGAACCUGCGGAAGGAUCAUUACCCAUGUUCUGGGGGACUCCGGUCCCUGUCUGAACCCUUGUCUUUUGCGUACUAUUUGUUUCCUUGGUGGGCUUUUGCCCGCCAAAAGGACACUAUAUAACCCUUUGUAAUUGCAAUCAGCGUCAGAAAAACAUAAUAGUUACAACUUUCAACAACGGAUCUCUUGGUUCUG